CCUAAUUUCCUGAUCCUCAACACCCUCCACCACAUCCUGACCCUUCAUGUAUCAUGUAUGUCUUUUCUGUUCCUCAUACAGGGUUCAGAUGACUGCAGGUCUGAGGCACGGGCUCCCUCCACUAUGACGGUGGCUUGGCAUUCGGGACACCAGCUUCAGAUGGUGGCAGAGCUCUGGAGGCUGAGGAAAGGAGCCGAGGCCCAACAGGAAAGAAAGUUACCUACAGAAGCUUAUAGUCUCUUACGGAAACCUGUUGUUGCCAUCGAUGCCCCCCGUACCUUUCACCACUCAGAUCACUCAUGUCAACUCACCCCAUCUUGUCACUGUUGCCAGACGACAUUCGGGAAGAAUCCAUAACCCUGCCAUAGAGUAAAAAACAGUCCUUUCAGAAAACGUUAUCUGGUUAUAUUAUCCAAAAUCAAGACUUUUCACCUCAAAACUGGCUUGGGUAAUCUUUUCUCUAUUUAUCUUUUUCUUCAUCUACAAAAUAAGACACUUGCAAAAUGCACUUUGAGUCUGUCACCUUCACAGUAUCAUGCUAAUAUUCAGCAUUGCACAAAUAUUAUUGAUUUUUGGACAGCCUGCACUCUUCACCAAAUUCUUUCAAAUUUCAUUAAUUCUGUAUCUGGCAACAAUAUACAUUAGUAUAUAUAUCUUAAAGUUCAAAUACACUUAAAGGUUCUCAUCAAAGUAACACACCCUGAUAAUUUCCAGAGAAAUCAUGGGUUCCUAUCAAGACGCCAAAUGGUACGGCAUGUUGCAUCCUCCUCCCAAAACUUCAGAAGUCCUAAGGAACUAUGCAC
rnacentral:lncRNA from 1 species